rnacentral:rRNA from 1 species
GACGAACCGUGCGAACGUUGUUCGGAAUUACUGGGCGUAAAGUGUGCGCAGGCGGCCGAGCAAGUCGAGUGUGAAAGCCCCGAGCUUAACUUGGGAACUGCGCUCGAAACUACUUGGCUAGAGUGUGGCAGAGGGAGGUGGAAUUCCACGUGUAGCGGUGAAAUGCGUAGAGAUGUGGAGGAACACCGAUGGCGAAGGCAGCCUCCUGGGCCAACACUGACGCUCAUGCACGAAAGCGUGGGGAGCAAACAGG